rnacentral:rRNA from 1 species
AUUGAACGCUGGCGGCAGGCCUAACACAUGCAAGUCGAGCGGAUGAAGGGAGCUUGCUCCUGGAUUCAGCGGCGGACGGGUGAGUAAUGCCUAGGAAUCUGCCUGGUAGUGGGGGACAACGUUUCGAGAGGAACGCUAAUACCGCAUACGUCCUACGGGAGAAAGCAGGGGACCUUCGGGCCUUGCGCUAUCAGAUGAGCCUAGGGCGGAUUAGCUAGUUGGUGAGGUAAUGGCUCACCAAGGCGACGAUCCGUAACUGGUCUGAGAGGAUGAUCAGUCACACUGGAACUGAGAAACGGUCCAGACUCCUACGGGAGGCAGCAGUGGGGAAUAUUGGACAAUGGGCGAAAGCCUGAUCCAGCCAUGCCGCGUGUGUGAAGAAGGUCUUCGGAUUGUAAAGCACUUUAAGUUGGGAGGAAGGGUUGCAGAUUAAUACUCUGCAAUUUUGACGUUACCGACAGAAUAAGCACCGGCUAACUCUGUGCCAGCCGCCGCGGUAAGAC